rnacentral:rRNA from 1 species
GACGAACGCUGGCGGCGUGCUUAACACAUGCAAGUCACGGGGGCCCGCAAGGGUAACCGGCGAACGGGUGCGUAACACGUGAGCAAGCUUCCGAUUUGUGGGGGAUAGCCGGCCUAACGGCCGGGUAAUACCGCAUACGUUCACUGGACGGCAUCGUCUGGUGAGGAAACCUCCGGGGCAAAUCGAGGCGCUCGCGGCCUAUCAGCUAGUUGGCGGGGUAACGGCCCACCAAGGCGACGACGGGUAGCUGGUCUGAGAGGAUGGCCAGCCACAUUGGGACUGCGACACGGCCCAGACUCCUACGGGAGGCAGCAGUGGGGAAUAUUGCGCAAUGGACGAAAGUCUGACGCAGCGACGCCGCGUGUGGGAUGAAGCUCUUCGGGGUGUAAACCACUGUUGCCCGGGACGAAAUGCCCUUUCGAGGGAAUUGACGGUACCGGGUGAGGAAGCACCGGCUAACUCUGUGCCAGCCGCCGCGGUAAGAC